GAAAAUUAGUUUUCUGAGGAUUAAUUUCUUCUGUAUAUAUUUUAUGAGGGGCAUAUAGAAACAAAGAUUCCCUAUUUUUCUCCUCAGUGAUGAAACAAAACAAAAGUACACAACCUAAUAUACCUACAGUAGACUUCCGAUUAUCCGGACUAAUUGGGGAAUUUGGUUGUCCGGAUAAGCAAAAAUCCGGAUAAUGCGGAUUCAUGUUUUUUUGAUUGAAUUUCGGUAAAAAAUGACUGUUUUUUUAAUGAUGAUGGGAAAUUUUUGCAAUUUUUAAUAAGAAGUGCAAGGAAUAAAUUGUAUUUCUUCAAAAAAUAGAGAAAAACAAAUUAAAAACAAAGAUUACAAAUUUUUUUUACUAUGUAUUUGUAAGUAAUUCGCAUAUGCUUGUCCGGAUAAUACGGAUUUUGUCCGGAUAAUCGAGUAGUCCGGAUAAUAGGGGGAAUUUUUUUUCGUCCGGAUAAUACGGCUGUCCGGAUAAGCGGAAGUCUACUGUAUUUUCAAAAACUACAUUCUUUUAUACCAUUCUUUCUGCUAUUUUUUGACAUAAUUACUCAAGUGAUUAAUACAUUUUGUCACAUCUUGACAUAAGUUUUAAUAUGUACCUCCUCCUACAAAUUAGUGUACAACCUGUGAGGCACACAAUUUUUAAUAUUGCCAUUUAUUCCGUGCUAUGUCAAGAAUAGUCCCUCAGUAGUGUAAUAGGCAGAGCUGCAGACCUGUGUUAACAAGUUAGGUACCUGGUUUGGAACUAGCUACAGAGGCAAGCUUGAUAGAGUAAUUCCAAAAAAUUUGUAUGUGCAUAUGUAUGCAGGCUUGUAGGUCUGCUCAGGUUUUGUGGUUGCUCCAAAAUCAAGGUCUUUGUUUGGACCUAUCAAACGGCCUGGUCUGGUCAUUCUGUACUACAUUUUUUGUCUUUGUAGGUCAGUUCGGUCUUGUCCUAACCAGAAAUUUUAAUCCUGGUCAUGAGUCAGCCCAGGUCCAAAAAACCAUCUUCAUUUUUCAGAAAGAAAAAAACUUCCUAACACAUUACAUGAGUUGAAAAAUGGGAUUUUUGCUCUCAAAACAUUGAAACUUCGAAAGAAAUUGAAUUAUAAUGGCAAUUUAUUCGAAUUAGGCAUCUAAAAUGACAUUAUAAAUUUGAAAAAUUGGACAUAUGGAUGUAACUGAAGUCCAAACCACAGUCAUUGGUCCAUUUUUUUAGAAAGGUCUUUGGUCUCAGUCUGUCCCUAAUAUUUUUUCUGAAGAGUCAUCCGUUCACUUAAUAUCGUACAUAAAUUUGUUUUAGAGGACUGAGGUCCAGUCCACUCAGUCUUGUGAGCAUUUUUGGGCCUGGUCGCAUUCAUUGGUCUGGUUUUUAAAAUCUUGGUGGGCCACGACAUACUAUUUGGGCAGAUGAGGUAAAAACUGGGCCACUUAAAAAAUUUCUGAAUGAGUUUUUAUGCUCAGUGUCCUGCACUUUAAAAAAUGGGAGAACAAAAUUUGGCUGAUUAAUUGAGGAGCCCAAAAUCAGGGACGCUGAAAUGGAAUAUCUCAGUGGGCCAUGUGGUCUUGGGCCAGGCCUUGCAUGUCAGGGAUGCUGAUGAUAUUAAAUUUCACAAUAGUUGAAUUGAUUGAUUAGUGUUAUCAUGAUAGUAACAACAUGUGAUGUUUUGUGCAAGGAAUUGCCAAAGUAAAUCCAAAAAAUUAUACACUGCGCAUGUCACUCAAAACUUCCAAAACACAACAACCUCCCUCCAGCUUUGUGAAUUUCUUGUUGCAUAGUAGCAAUCCUUGCAGAAAAGAUUGCUAGUUGUUGGUAUUGUGAUAUCAUAUCAUGGUAGGUAAUUGUGAUAAUUUUAAAAAAUUAAUCAAUAAAUUAUUGAUGAUUUAAAUCCAUGUUUUUGGGUCAACUGAUGAAUUUCACAAUCAAGGUCUUCGUUUUGGAGCUUUCAAAUGGUUUAGUCCAGUCAUUCUGUUGGAAUUUUUUGGUCCUUGUGGAUUGGUCUGGUCUGGUCUGGUCCUGACCAUAAAUUUUUCAUCUUUGUCAUGGGUCAGCUCAGGUCCAAAAAACUGUUUUCAUUUUUCAGAAAGAAAAAAUCCAACACACUGGAUGAGUUGAAAAAUGGGAUUUUUGAUUUCAGAAUAUCUAUUAAAACUUCAAAACAAAUUGAAUCAUAGUGGAAAUUUAUCAAAAUAGUCAUCUAAAUUGGCAUUAAAAAUUUGAAAAAUUGGAUGUAGCCUAACUGGGAUCCAAACUGUGGUCAUUGGUCUGAUUUUUUAGAAAAGUCUUUGGUCCAGGUCUGUUUCUGAUAUUUUUUCUGAAGAGGGUCAUCCGUUUGGUUAAUAUUGAUGUAAAUCUGUUCCAGAGGGGUCAGGUCUGGUAUGGUCCACUGAGUCUUGUGAGCAUUUUUGGGUCUGGUCAUGGUCAUUGGCCCAGUUUUAUGGUCCAAUCCAACAAGCCUGGCAAUUGAAAAAUUUCCAUCAAAUUUCAAACUUUGGUUUUCACUGCAAAAUACUUCAUUGGAUGGAACUAAAAUGGGACACUCAUGAUUAAACGUUCAAAAGCACAACUUCAUAAACGCUGGAGAACUUUGGUAUCGGUCUCAAAUGAAAGCCAAAGGAUGCAUCUUUACCUCCUCCAAUAAGCUCAUUAAUUUUGGAUGAAACCACGCGCAGUCCUUAAUAGGGAACCUCAUCUUUUAUACACCCCUUGUAUUUGUAAGUAAAGUUAAAUGUUGGAAUUUUUUUUUCAAUUUUGUUUUUUGCUUUUGUUUAGGUCAUUGGUAAUUUAGAGGAACUUGUCUGAUGAUGCAAGUUCAGUUUAUUAUCUCAUCAGGAUUUGUGUUGACCUGCUUUGUGUGGCAGAGUUACUCCAAUGUUGAGUUCUACUCUUCUACUGUAGAAGUUUCAAAAGCCCUUGAGAUGCACAACUACUUACCUAUCAUGUUGAUCAACUUGGAUGACAUUGUGUGGUUGAUCUUGUUCCCAGUCAGUGUUUCUUUUCAUCAUCAAGUUAUGUGUAACGUGUAAAAUUUGGAACCGUUUCACGUUGAACUCAUUUGGCAAAUUCUAGGUGAUGAAAUUGAUUUUAAUUUGGUGAUCCGGAUUUAGCUGUAGGUAUGCCAUCUCAUUACAGGAUAUUGUUGGAUUUUCACUAAUGCUGCUUGUAAAAAACGAAAUGGACCUAGGUAUAUAAAAAAUUGUUGAAAAUAGAAGGUGAUCAUAAAAAAAAUUAACAUGUAUUGUAAAUUAAUAUGACCUUGUAAUUUUAUUCAAAUACACAUUAUUGUAAGUAUACAUUUAUUCGUCCUAAAAUUCAAACUUAGCGCGGAGUAAUUCACAUCAGAUGCAGAAGAACUAAUCAAAAUAACACAGGUAAGUGAAUGGCAAAUAUCAAAGUUCAAUCACACAAAGUCUUGGUUCUGCCAAAAAGCUCAAAGUUUCCAAGAUAACAAAGCUUUUUAUAAAAAAGUUGAAUUUACAGGUACAAAAAAGCUGGAUCGAAUAAUAUAAAUGAGCUUUUCGUGAUCAGUGAUGCAUUAUUAGUAGGUAUUAUUA